CCAUUUGUGGUAUCGGCAGAAGAAAUGCGGCACUCAAUAUGAGUGAUCAGCAAAUCUCAAACUUUAUUGAUAGGCACAUACAUUUAUAUUGGUGUUAAUGAGGCUAAUACAUAUUGCAAAAGUGUUCUGGAAAACUUUUCCUGAUUAUUUGGAGUACUUGACUGGAAAGACACUACACAGACAUCACAUGUGACUCCUUGGGGUUUAGUCAAGAUCUGCUACCUCAGCCCAGUAUCUGCAAACUGCAGCUGCAUCUUAGAAGUCAUGCAUUCUUGUAUCCCUCCUCUUAAGUAUUUUUCCUGUGGUUUGUGGAUUUUUCCGUUAAGCUCAAAUGAGUUAAAAAUACUGGAGAUGACUAGUACCAACAAGCAGCCUGUACUUUGAACUGCUCAACACAUUCUAAACCAGAAAACAUGGCUGAUCCAAGUUCUACAAUCCUCUGUCUCCAGUCAUCCUGCUCCCCAGUUUCUGGCCAUAGUGAUACUACAGAAAGAAGAAAAGAGUGGACAACCUAACGCAGACAGAACACCUCAUUGGUACCUCUUAUUCAGCACAGACAAGGAUUGCCUUCUUCAGGCUGAGUUAAAUAUCCAAUGCAAACAUAUCCUAAGUAGCAUUUUAGAAUACUACUGUAACUGCUAAGUAAUUAAAUAGAUUAAUUUCUCUUUAUAUCCAUCAAGGAAUUCCACACCUGAUGUCAAAACAUUUUGCCAAGUAAAAUUUUAUUGCUAACAGCAUAUUCUGUGGGAAAAUUGCAGAUCAGCAAGCAAUACUUUUCUAAACUAUAUAUGGUACUCUAAAUCUGUCAACUGGUUCUAGGAAGUGCCUGAGUUUUCCUCCAAUAUUUUGCUAUUUAUCACUCUCAGUAUUUCCAAGCAUAAAUGUACAAGACAUAUGUCAAUGUACCUCCAACGUUUUAACAGCUGAAGCCUACUACUUCUGUAGCUUAAAUACAUUGUCCAAAGAUGAAAUAUACCAAAUAACUGGAUCUCAAAAGUAGUUAGGCAAGUAGGAAUAUUUCAGUUUUAUCAGGCACAUGACACAUUAAAUUUGUUUGAAUAA